CAGCAGCCGCGGUAAUACCGGCGGCCCGAGUGGCGGUCACUCUUAUUGGGCUUAAAGCGUCCGUAGCCGGGUUGGGAAGUCCUCCGGGAAAUCUGGCCGCUUAACGGUCAGAAUGCCGGAGGAUACUCCCAGCCUAGGGAGCGGGAGAGGCCGAGGGUAUUCCCGGAGUAGGGGGGAAAUCCUAUAAUCCCGGGAGGACCACCUGUGGGGAAGGCGCUCGGCUGGAACGCGUCCGACGGUGAGGGACGAAGGCCAGGGGAGCAAACCGGAUUAGAUACCCGGGUAGUCCUGGCUGUAAACGAUGCGGACUUUGUGUCGGACAAGCUAUGAGCUUGUCCGGUGCCGGAGGGAAACCGUUAAGUCCGCCGCCUGGGGAGUACGGCCGCAAGGCUGAAACUUAAAGGAAUUGGCGGG
rnacentral:rRNA from 1 species